rnacentral:rRNA from 1 species
GAUCCUGGCUCAGGACGAACGCUGGCGGCGUGCCUAACACAUGCAAGUCGAACGGAGUUGAAAGGAGCUUGCUUUUUUCAACUCAGUGGCGGACGGGUGAGUAACGCGUGAGUAACCUGCCUUUCAGAGGGGGAUAACGUUCUGAAAAGAACGCUAAUACCGCAUAAGAUUGUAGCUUCGCAUGGAGCAGCAAUCAAAGGAGCAAUCCGCUGAAAGAUGGACUCGCGUCCGAUUAGA